UCGUGUAUAAAUAAACAAGAUUAAACAUUGAUUAAAUCAUUCAAAUGAAUACAAAGUUAAUCAAGUUUAAAGAUUGACAAAAUUGCGAUUUCCCCCUCUUCUCCUUUCUUUCUCCACUCGAUAUCACCGGCCGGUAAUUCAGUUUUCCCCCAAAACUUCUGGGCGGAAAACCCUAGGCGUCGAUCGACCGACGAGAACUGUCAGAAGACUCUCCGGACUUCGGAAGACUCUACAUUGUCGCCGGCGCUUCUUCCCAACCAGAAAUUGAGAGAGCCAUUACUAAUUUUAGACCGUUGGUUUAUGUAGACCGGUGGUUUCGGUACUAAUUUUAAGAAUCGAGGCAGGGGGAUUGCAGAUUUUAAAACAAUCUUGGGAUAAAAUAAAUUAAAG
rnacentral:lncRNA from 1 species